GGGGUGGGUGCGUGUCCCAGGGCGCCCGCACGUGCCUUGGCUCAGCUCGCCCCUUCAGCUUCAUCGCUCGACCAGCGCGAGCAUCGCUCCGGUGGUUAUCCAGCAUUCCCUCCGUGCUCCCGGGCUGCAGGCUUAAAUACCUCCGUUUUAAGCUCUCUUUUCAGUGCUUCUGUAAACACAUGAACCAAGAGGAAGGCAUCUGCAGAACAUCACAGGAACAUCAACAAAGACAAUUUAUUUCCACCUGUACUUGGCAAAAAAGGUCAAGAGACCACAAUGCAUAUGUCAUGCCUGUAAAGUAGUUUAGCUUGUCCCCAUCACUGGAAUUACCAUCCCAGUGCAGCUUUUAUGAUAUAAAUAUGUCUGUCCAUGCCACUAGACAGUUCAUACUCCCUCUUUAUUGGCAUUGUACUCUCUUAUGCAUAAAGCUAAAUGAAUUUUACACUAAAUUGGAAGCCAUGUAAUAUCAGUUAAUAUUAAAUGGUAUUUUCUUUGA